rnacentral:rRNA from 1 species
ACCUACGGGGGGCAGCAGUGAGGAAUAUUGGUCAAUGGGCGGAAGCCUGAACCAGCCAAGUCGCGUGAGGGAAUAAGGCCCUACGGGUCGUAAACCUCUUUUGCCGGGGAGCAAGGGCCGGGACGCGUCCCGGCCCGGAGAGUACCCGGAGAAAAAGCAUCGGCUAACUCCGUGCCAGCAGCCGCGGUAAUACGUAGGGGGCAAGCGUUAUCCGGAUUUACUGGGUGUAAAGGGAGCGUAGACGGCAGUGCAAGUCUGAGGUGAAAGGCAAGGGCUCAACCCUUGGACUGCUUUGGAAACUGUGC